CAAACUGAAUUUAUGCAAAUCCGUGUUUGUGGUUUGGCUGUGGUCAGCCUCAGGAAACAGAAAUGCUGUAUAACUGCCACAUAGAAUAUAGUUUAAACCUGAGGUUUUACGGAGCGACGCAACAUGCACGGUGCCAUCUCCAGUGAUGCUUAACGGUGCAUCCGGGAUAUGAAAAGAUGACACUGCAAAUUCCCACAAACAUCAUGCAGAAUUCACGGAAGAAGACUGAUAGAAGACUGUGGCCAUGAUUUACUGCCUGAAGCAAAGUACUGCCAGCCAAGGAUCAUGCUGUUUGGACUAUCAGACAGGAAUUGAGGAGAGAGCUACAAUCAUUGUGGAAAAUAUUCGGAUAGUGCUUACAUGAUACAUGACCAAUAAUAAAGAAAGCAAAAUUCUCUCUGUCUCAUUUUUUAAUCAUAAAAGCCACAUUAUGGUUUAUCCAGACAGAAGAUGCAGGCUUGUAAUGGUAGGCCCUAGGAAACCACCUCAAAAUGAAAUGCUGACCUGCCUAUAUGUUACAAAUCUGGGUGAGAUUUGGCCUUUACCCAUCACAUAAAUGCUCAGUUGCUGAAUGAUAUGCAAGACAAGUCAUUAUUUCCUAAAAGGAACUCUUCCAACUUAUAUUGAGAGAAGAAUUAUGGCCUUUUGCAUUUGUUGCUCAUUUUAAUUAAUAAAAAAUAAAAUACUAACAUCCACACUUAUGGCAUCACUUCAUUUAUAUAAAAUGCCUUAGCUAAGUAUUGAAAGCUAAGUUCUAGUGUAAAUUCUGACUGGCCAGUUGUGUGAUUUCAGGAAAGUCACCUGACACUUUGAGCCUAAGUUUUCAUACUUCUAAAACGAGGGGGUUGGGCCAAGGCUCAGUUGGG
rnacentral:lncRNA from 1 species